GUUUUGGUGGGGUGGGAAUUAAAACUGCAAGCAACAUCACUAGCCCCGUUUUGGUGGUAGUAACUAUUGAAUGCAUAGGAUGCAUGUGAAAGUAGAGUAUCUGGCUCAAAACAAGGCUGGCUAGGUUGAAUGGCAGAACAAUCCACAUUCCCAGGACCACAUGCCCAAUCUAAGGCACUCUGCAAGUCAAGUUGAGAAGCAUUACUUGAAGCAAUGCACCAUGAUGUUCCAUUGAAACCGGAAAAAGUGGUAUUUUUGUGCACAUCAACAACACCUUUUCCCGUAAAAUCCAAACUGUAAACACUUGUCUGGUCUGGAUAAAAUAAACCCCAGUUCCUUUCUGAUUCCAAACCAGGCUUCCUGUUCUCAUUGAACAAUGAGAAGAUAUAAAUAUCUAGCUCUUCUCCAGGCUUUGCAGGAGUACCUGAGUUACUGAUGACAUGGCGAAUCAAAUUGGUGUUAUAGGUCUGGGCAUUAUCAGGAGUAGCAGCUGUCUCCUUCGGUGACCCUUUGGAUGGCCAACCUGUCUCAGUGACCAUAAGGUUAAUUGUUCUAAAAUUCAGAGCCAUCAGAGCAAAAUAGAGGGCAUCAAUCUGAGCAUCGAACAUGUUUGUGUACAGCAAACCAGUGUUUGGAUCUAUCACUUCUGAGGAUGACUCAAAUAGAGCAUAAUCCAAAGACACAUUGUUAGGAGAAUCUCUAUAAGCAUAGUAAGGAUAAAUAUUAAUCAAAAAAGGAGACUGAUUUUCAGCAAGGAAUUCCAACAUGGGCUUC
rnacentral:misc_RNA from 1 species